CGGUUUUUUAGUGACGGCGGUUUUCCAGUUUAUUCUUACCCCCCGGCGCCACCGGGGGGCGUGGUAGUCCACUCAGUUUCACGCGCCGUUCGUUCGAAACGCCUCUACUGAGGCGUACGACGAGGUCUUUCACGAUUUCUACUCCAGAGACGAGGACCGAUCGAUUCAUCGCUUUAUUCGAGACGUUUCCUCCGAGCGGAGUCCUCGAAAGGUGCGGCGAAUCUUCACAGUCCCCUUCCCCGAGAUGAUGAGGAUCGACUCGCCGUCCGUUCGUUCUUUCGAAACGCUUUCUCCGAUCGGGGUCUUUGGAAGCGUACGGCGAGUCUUACACCACCAUCCCGACGCGUGUCUGAGUGUAGUCCCGUGACCACUCGAUGCCAUUGGUUCGCUUGCACCACCGUACAAUAUGAUGCAAGUUACUAAGCCCCAGUGUUAGGUAUUGCAGUUGUUUUUAUAGCAUUCCAUGAUCAUUAAACACCUUCAUAAUUUUUACUAAUCCUGAUAUUGUGAAAUUCUUGCAAUUUUACAUUUUAUGCCCCUCAUUCAGCGACCAUUUCCUGCGACUUUGCAUAUUUUUCAUUCAAUUCAUCAACCAAUAUCCGCAAUUCUUCUCUCUCCUAUGUUGUAUACCAAUGAAAAUUCUCUUGGAUUCCUCCGCGGCAUUGUAUAGUUUUUUGUCUGCUAACGAUUGGACGAUCACACUGACGAUCACUCACACGAUUGGACGAUCACCCUACACAAUUUGGCUGCAUCGAAUCCGUCGCUGAUCAUCUACGUCUAUGUGCCAUGUAUUUAGAGUGUAUUGUUAGCUUGGCCUGCUUUUGAAAAGUUGAAAAUAAAAUUAGCAAAUCUGGAAAAACAUUUGGUCAAGGAAAACGAUUCCAAAAUGACCAAAGUGGCGACUGGACCAAAAAAAUGUAAUUCAAUUUUCAAUUUUUAAGAGACGAUGGCAUUUUUAAUGGCUUUGUAACCUAUCUGAAAAAUGGGUACGGUAAAUUAAUACCUUCAAAACUAUCAAUUUCGAUAUCAUCAUUCACAGUCGCAGUAUUAGUAGUAUCAGCAUCAGAAGGUACAAAUUAUGAAAUAGACUACUUCUCUUAUACGAUACCGGAUCUGUAACGCGAAUAAAUUUACUGCAAUUAAGAUCAACGAACACCACCUACGACAAUGCCGCAACGUUUAUCUGCUAACUUCACAGAUUUAUUCUCCGACUUGACACCUGUUGUGAUUCAUCAAGCUUUAGCAGCUUACGAUGUUCGAAGAACCGAAUUAAUGAACAGCGAAGUUAAUAAAUUGAGAGAAUCUACGCAGCUUUUGAAUAGGUAUGGAAAUAAAUACCGAGUGUGAGGUUUUGAUUAGUUGGUUUUCCAUUUGUGACUUUAUUUUUCUUGUAGUGUGUUAGCAUUAUGGAAUUCUCGUGCUAAAUCCAUUUUCAUAGCAUUACCACGUGGUGCUCGUAGGAAACCCGUAAAGACAAUUUGCACACCAAGAAGUGGAUAAAUGUCUCCUGUUGUGUUUGUAGAGCGUUGCGAUACGGAAUAGUAAUGCUAAAGUGAAUAUUAUUAUCAAUUUUUUAUGUAACACCUCUAUUAUCAAACAAAAAAUCAAAAAAACUUACCUGAAUUCAAAACGUACGAAAAGCAAGAAGGACAACGUCAAACCACCUACGAUCUGAUAUCAACUGGCACGAGAAAUCCGUCGGGCGCUUUACGUUCACAAAGCUCCCAGGCGCACUUGUGAUGGUAUAAAUGGCCACAAUCUCCGGCUCGGAUCACCAUUUCUCCACUCAAUAACGGUCGAUUACAAAAUUCCCAAACGAUUAUUAAAUUCAUCGUGCUAAAAAAAAUAGAACGCGUUAUUGAUACAUCAUCGACAUAAUAUACAGGGUUGAAAGCGUUUAAAUUUAAUUGCCUUUGUCGUUUUAAUAACCUACGCCUAUAGAGGGGUUACAUUAUAAACCGCUAAGACGAUCAGAGCAUGCCUGCUCAUCACAAUAAACAAAUAUUUCAAUUUGAAUUUUAAAAUUAUGUGGGUUCAAGUCUAAUUUUUUUGAGCUUUUUGGCCUAAAUUCUAAUAAUUUUCAUACCAUUCAUCCACCAACGUCUUGACAACGCCUAAUAGAACAGUGUGCAUAUAAUCGAAUGCAAAGGAUUGUCCAACAUCAAAUGUUGGACAAAUGGAUGAAAUGCAUGGAUGCUUCAUUCCAUUCACAGCUUUAUUGUCAUUCUUUAAAGCUUCUUCACUAUCACGUAAAUGUUGUUGUGCGGUUCUAGGAGCACCAGUUAUUGCACCAGGAUAAAUACGCGUCCUGUUAUUAAUUCUUUCCCCGGGUAUUAAGCAAUAAGUGCAUCCUUGAGUACCAUUAUAUUGCUCAAUUCCUUGAAUUAGUAGUCGGGCAACAGAAUCGACAGAACUUGAAAUCACAUGAGCUUUGAUUCAUUGUACUGAAUCGCUGUGUUGAACUAUAAACUCAUGUUCACUCAGGUUUGAAAGUUCUUUCACUGUAGGUGCCAAGUAUGCCUCAUAAAUAGCUUUGCUGAAAGCUGCAGGCGAAAUUUUCAAGCCCAGAGGCAACGCAGUAAAUUCAUACAGUUCAUUUUCAAAAAUAAUACAUAGUUGCGAUUUUUCCAUCUGCAGAUUGAAUUGUGAUUUGAAAAAAACCUUGAUUGGUAUCUAGUGUACAAAAACAGUUUUUCCCAUCCAUGGUCAUAAAAGUAUUGCUUCGAAUAAUUUAUAAUAUAAUAUGUACGAGUAUUAAUAAUAAUGAACAAUAGAUAGAUAGGUACAUUUUAUGCAUUUUCGAAAAUUAAUGACCCAUGUCCAUUUUCGAUUUUAAUCAAAAAUGGACUAAAGUUUUCGCUUUUCUCAUAAAAGUAGGUACAAAACUUUAAAUAAUUUAUAAUAAGUAUACGAGUAAUAAUAAUAAAAAACAAUCAAUAGAUAAAUGAAAUCAAAAAUGGGCAUCAGUUGUAAAAUUUAUCAGUUCGUGAUUAGGGAACUAUUCAUGAUCUGGUUUAUCUGCAGCUCGUCGAGCGCGUGGCAGUUGGACUUCUUUGUAGUCGAGAAGUUGUCAAGCACGACAAGAAUCCGAUUUUGCUCUGUCGAGGAAGUUAAAAUACAUUCUCUAAAUAAGGACUAUUUACCGGCAGGUCGCUGAAAAAACGGACACUGGUGACAUCUUCCAAUCGACAAACGUGCUCGUAAUUUUUGUUUGAAGUGGAUGCAUCAAUACGAAUCGUGGCGGUUGGUUGUUUCUGUUUGGUUUUGAUUUUGUCUUCUGGGCCAAUUGUUUCAUUUCAUUAUUUGCUUCAAUGAAGUACUGGCCCUUGAACUACUCACCUCGAGCGCAUCCAGCUGAUUAGCAAUAAAAUUCAGGAUGGUUAGCAAUACAGCUGCGAUUUAAUCUGUAAUGCCCCACCCCCUGAAUUUCUCAUUAGAUUUACUUCUAGUAAAUAGAAGGUUGAUGAGGCCAUCGGCCACGCCAUAAAACGGUUUAGCACGUGGGAUAUUUUCCUUUCUAAACGUAAUAUGGUUGCUGAUACAUUUAGACCCACUUCGUUGCUUAAUAGUUCGGAGUUCUCCAUUUUUGGAUACUCCGAAUGGGAUGGGAAAUUAUUAUUCCAAAAUAUGGGAUAAGGCGAAGAACGCCCUUAUGCCACGAGACAUAAUGUGGUAUGGUAAGUCACCCAUGAGACAAUACAUCGGAUCUCCGAUACAACAUAGCAAAACUAUCACUGUUACUCGAUAGUGAAGCUUGCAUGGUGUUACGCGCCAUGCCAGUACUACCAAACAACCAAACCAAUUAAACAAUUUUCAUGAUGGUGCAGAAAACGGAAAUAUAUUCGUGGUUUGAUUGGUGUUUUAAGAAUAUAUUAAUACAAAGAAUUACUUUUAUGGAACAUUUACAAAAUCAAUUAUACUUACAAUUUUCUUUAUUAUUUCUUCUGUUUUUCAUAGUAAUGUUAUAACAGAGAACUCUGUUGAACCAAAUCAACGGCUUCCACGUUCUGUUGGUGGUAAUUUCUAAUUUAAUAACGAACAAAUACAUUUAAUAUUAUUAUUGGAUUUAUAAUUCAUUUUCUUAGGGUGGUUGCGGGUUAGAUGCCGGUGCGGGUUAGAUGCCGGUGUCGUCACCAAUCGCUCCCUAUCAACUCUUUCUGAAAACUGAUUAGCACAGAUUAUUCCUUAAGGUGAACAUAGUUUGUGUUAAAGUUUUGAUCUGUGACGGUUAUUGUUAACCUGGUUUGAUAUGCGAAUGAAAAAAUUUAUGUAGCUAAAACCAGUGAUACUUUUUUCACGUAAUUUUUGAAACGCAUUUUUUCUCCAGAAAAAGUGUUUCAAAACUGCAUGUAAGUAUCUCACGCAUAAGUAUAUACCUUGAACUAACAUAUUCAAGCAAAUUUACAAAAAUUUGUUUCAAUUCUGGUAUGAAAAUUGACCUUGCAAUCUGACCCAUCAUUUCGGGAUAGAUGCCGGUUUUUGUGAUCGGGAUAGAUGCCCAUAGUAAUUAAAUGGGAGUGAGGAAGGUGAAAUUUUUUUUUUGUUAAUACUGCGGCAAAAAGUCCAAAAAUGAUGGUUCUUCAAAUAUUUUCAACUGGCGUGGUCAAUUUUUGGAAUUACAUUCAUUUUUAACACAUAUUGUCAAUUCUCAAAAACACCUUUUUUAUUUUUUGAUUAAUUAAACUUCCAUUGUGAAUUUUUGAUGUUCAUUUUAUUUAUUGUGCAUGAAAUAAAAGAAUUUCAUCGAAUUCAAUCUUCCAGGAGCCUUUUUUGGGGGGGUUUUGGGUAGUGGCAUCUAUCCCUCACCAAAUCAGCAUCUAACCCGCACUGGGGGGAUAGAUGCCAGUAGGUGCGGGUUAGAUGCCGGUCAAAAAGUGACCUUGUUUUUUUUUCAAAUUGCAAAAAAACUACUGGAUACAAAAAAUUACACUUUUAGUAUAAUAUAGAGGAAUAAUUGCUCUACCGAUUCGCGCAAAUUUGAAAUCAUUUCGAUGAAAAUUAUGGCAGUGAGGCUCAAAAAACCACGACACACCGGCAUCUAACCCCCGACUAUGGGCAUCUAACCCGCAACCACCCUACAUUCAUUUGACGUAAUGUAGGAUGACAUAUUUUCUCACAAAUCAAUUGUGCAAUCCGAUCACCUUUCUUAAGAACCAUUAAUUGUUUCGAAAAAUUGAAAACAAUUGCACAAACAUUACCCCUGUAAUCAGCAUCUAUUACUCCACCUGUAUAUGAAUUGGAAAAAAUUCUAAAAAUUACUUACUUUGAAUUUGUUCGUUUUCUAAAAAUUAUGUUUUCAAAAAGAAUACUUCAUUGAAUGUUAUCAUUUUUAAAAAAUAAAUGAGGAAGGCAACCUGAAAAAACAGUAAAGAAAAUACAAAACGUAACUAAACCAAAUGAAAAUAAAAAAACCAGAACUGCUAGCUUCUGAAAAAAAGCAAGGAAAAAUGAAAUUAAAAUGGAAAAAUAAUAAUUUAAAUAACAAAACUACUGGCUUCUGAAAAAACCUGAAAACAAAUAAAAUUGAUACGUAUUAAAAAUGGAAAAGUGACUUCGAAAAGAAAAAAAAGGAAAUACGUAUCUAAGUUAUACUUAAAUUAACGUUACUAAUCUUUAUGAUUUUUUUGGGAGGGUUGUUCGACGGGGUUUCGUUUAUGUCGAACUUAAUUGUAGUGCUUUUCUUAUGGUAAUUUUCAUCUCCAAUGGUUCAUUGAGCAUAAAAUUUUCAUUGCUUUGAACAAUUUUUUCGACUUCUGCCAACACUAUGUCAGUGGUCAACUGGGAACAUUUUCUGAAUGUUACAAACACAGGCUUUGUGAAUGAUUGAUUACCUAGUGUAACACCAAUCAUAUCAUCUUCAGGUAUAUCAGUCAUAUGUUUUUCCAAAAUUGAAUCGAAUAUCUUCUGAAUGUGUUGACGAGGGUCUUGAUUUCCUCGCGCGUAGGCAGACACAUUUUUUUUUCAAAAUAAUAUUAGAAACAAGAAUACACAAAGUUUGAAAAUAUUUUACCGAGAGCACAAGAAUCACUACUACCACAAGAGACUUCACACAAUAAGAAAAACAAUUUCGUCAAAUGAAGUUGAAAAACCCAAAAUUUACAUUGAAACAGCUUGAAGUGUUCAAUAGGUUUUUUUUCCAGCUUGAAAUUCCUACCAAAAUUUUUUUGGUAAAUGAAGUUGAAAAACCCAAAUUCAACCAAAAAUUCAUAUUGAAAAUUUUACAGGAGAGUGAUUUUAUUUUUUUAAAAACUUGAUUCAUUAUUUCUAUCAACUUAUAAUUAAUUGUGAGGGAUGAAUAUUACCUCAUUUCAAACAUAUACAAAAAAAGGCCCUAGGCAGAUAAGCAUGGUCGAGCGGCCCCCGGCACCUUCAGAGGUGAAACUUAUGUGAUGUAUAGGUACCCCCAAGAUAAGUAUUUUCCCCAAGUUUUGGACCUCAACUCUGAGUGGUUCUUGAGUAAUUCCUCAAAAAUCGAAAAUCGUUUUUAAUUAUUUUCUCAAGAUUGACUCGGCCGAUUUUUUUCAAACUUGAACCAAAGUGUACGUAUGCGUAAGGGCUUUUCCCAAAAAAAUCAACAGCCCCCUCCCCCCACUUUUUCCCUUCCAAAAUUUCGAUUCAAUUUUUUGAGGUCCCCCUUACCCCCCAAGGCCUUUUGGCACACUUUUUGAAAAAUAUUUUUUAGAUGCAGUAUUGAUCCUAGAACAACAUAUAUUUUACCCAAAAGUGUACCUCGGGUGCGCCGUAGUCAAAUUCCACCAAAACCAACACCCUCUCACCUGGAAUAGGGUUAAUACGGUAUGCAACUGCUGUUCAAGUAUAACUGCCGGAGUAUUAUUAAUAAUGUUGUAAUUUUCAACUGAAAAUAAUAUGUUUGAGUCGUUAUUCGUUAUUCACAAGUUAAUAUUUUUAGGGGUAGCGAAGCACCCCCCCCCCCCCCCUCCUGCCCCAUUUUUGGGCAAAGUGAAAUUUUCAAUAUGGGUGUCGUUUUCAUAUGAAUCGGACACGCCGAGUCCGAAAAUGAGGUCCAAUUUUCAUUCUGAUACCCAUAAGUACCUCAUUCGGGGCGAAUUACACUGUAAAAAUAGACUUUUAUACAUUUGAAAAAAUGUACUUACACCUUACUGAACUUUGGAACUGGAAAUAGCGCUAUGCGAUUUUGAAUCUCGACCACCGAGACAAUAUGUUUAUACCAAACUAUACUAGAUUUUAUUAAAAACAUGAAUAAUUGAAGUUUUUACAAAAUCGAAAAAAUAUAAUUGGUGUAAUUAAGCUAAAACGACAUUUUUACAACAUAAAGUUAAAGGUAUCAUAUAAAAUGUACAAACACAACCUAGUUAUCACCCAGAAUGAUCAUUAUUAUGAUACAUAUGUAGAAAAAAAUUCACAUUACAUGCACAAACGAAAUUUUAUGGGAAUGAACUCAAAAAAAAGACAUCAACAAUCAAAAAAACAAAGAAAAAAAUGCAUUAACGAAAUUGUGGACCAAAAAAAAAAAAAAAGAAUCAAGAAAAGAUGCACAAACAAAAUUAUUGACCAAAAAAAAAAAAAAGAGAAAGAACCAAAAAAAGAUGCACAAACGAAAUUAUGAACCAAAUUAAAAAAAAAAAUCAAGAAAAGAUGUACAAACCAAGUUAUGGACUAAAAAAAAAUCAAGAUAAAAUGCACAAACAGACUUAUUGUAAAAAAAAAAAAAAACUAAGAAAAGAAGUAUGCCAUAAGAGAUUAGAAAUGUGAAAUACAGUACAAAGAAAAA